UCAGCUUCUCUACAGCAUCCUGUUUUAUUGGAGGAGUCUUGUAUCCUGUGUCUUAGGAAACCAGUGCCGCCAAACUCCUAUCUCUCACCUGUGCCCACUGCAUAUCCGCAGCUUACCAGCAGGAGGAGAGAAUGAACAUAACACAAACAGCAGCAAGGGAGGAGAUCAAAGCAGCUGCAUCAUCUCAUUAACCUUCACUCAGCAUUCCUGGAGGAGAUUGCCAGGUAUUGAGUCUGAUUUGCCUACCACAAGAUGAAGGGCACAUGUGGCGGAGGAGAAACAGAAGUUCGGAUUGGGAAGUCCAAGAGUCAUCUGGAGGUGCCCUAAGACUGCAGCUUUGGGUAACAGACAUCCUGAAACCUGGCUUGCCUGCCACUGAACACCACAUGCAAAUUCAAGCCCAGUGAAUAUGUGUGGUCUCAACUGAAACAAAAAAAAAAAAAUUUUUUUAAGAAACAAUACAGAUUUAGGCCCUCACAAUUCUCUCAGCAACUGUAAUGGGUUGAAUGGUGGUCCCGAACAUUAUGUCCAUUUCCUAACCCCUGGAACCUGUGACUGUGACCUUCUUUCAAAAAAGGGUCUUUGCAGAAGUAAUGAAGAGAUCAGAUCAUUCUGGGUUACCCAGGUAGGCACUGAAUUUAAUGACGAGUACCCUUGUGAGAGACAGAAGAGAAGACACAUGCGGAGGAGGGGCUGUGGCCACUGAGGCAAGCUGGA